rnacentral:rRNA from 1 species
UAGUCCACGCUGUAAACGAUGAUCACUCGUUGUUGGCAAUACAUCGUCAGCGACUGAGCGAAAGCAUUAAGUGAUCCACCUGGGGAGUACGUUCGCAAGAAUGAAACUCAAAGGAAUUGACGGGGGCCCGCACAAGCGGAGGAACAUGUGGUUUAAUUCGAUGAUACGCGAGGAACCUUACCUGGGCUUAAAUGCAUUGCAUCUUUUGAUGUUAUCUCUCGAAAGAGGGUUGAAAUUGCAAGGUGCUGCAUGGCUGUCGUCAGCUCGUGCCGUGAGGUGUCGGGUUAAGUCCCAUAACGAGCGCAACCCCUAUCAUUAGUUGCUAGCAGGUAAUGCUGAGGACUCUAAUGAGACUGCCAGCGUAAGCUGUGAGGAAGUGGGGAUGACGUCAAGUCAGCACGGCCCUUACGUCCAGGGCUACACACGUGUUACAAUGGCUAGUACAAAGGGCAGCUACAUGGCAACA